rnacentral:rRNA from 1 species
UACGUAGGGGGCUAGCGUUGUCCGGAAUCAUUGGGCGUAAAGCGCGUGUAGGCGGUUCGGUAAGUCCGCUGUGAAAGUCGGGGGCUCAACCCUCGAAUGCCGGUGGAUACUGUCGGACUAGAGUACGGAAGAGGCGAGUGGAAUUCCUGGUGUAGCGGUGAAAUGCGCAGAUAUCAGGAGGAACACCAAUGGCGAAGGCGGCCAGCUGGGUCGUCCCUGACGCUGAGGCGCGAAGGCGUGGGGAGCGAACGGG